GUAUCGCCAACCCUCGGUAGCGUGUAAAUUGAUGUCCGAUUACCAUGGGUGUCAGGGUGUCAGAAAAGUUAUGAUAUGCAUCCAAAGGUUGCUUCACGUUCAUAUUUACAAUGUGAAAUAACACGACGCUGAACCGUAUCCAAAUUUGGAGGACCUUCCAGAGCUCCAAGAUGACGAGAGCUGUGCUUCUGUUAUGGAUUUUGGUUCAAAUGUUAGAGUUUAUCGGCAGCUAUGCUUGUCCAUUGCGAUGUUUCUGUAGACGCAUUGGUGCCCAAUCGGAAUGGUUAAAAGUCAAAUGCGAAAGUGGUCUUCACGAGAUUAAAGAAAUUGAUAUUAAUGGAGUCAGCGUGGAACUAGUUCAACUGGAUUUAAGUAAAAAUGAAAUCUAUCUCAUAGAAUCUGAAGUGUUGAAAAACUUGACCAAUCUGAGGCGCCUAAAUUUAUCGGUCAAUAAAAUCAGUUCUAUAGAUGAAGGAUCUUUUCAAGGGCUCCAAAAUCUUGAAAGAUUAGAUUUGAGUAGAAAUCAAAUUACCACUAUUGAUGCCCAUGCAUUCAGGCAGCUGACAAAACUCAAAAGACUUGAUUUAUCAGGGAAUAAAUUAAGCGCCAUGGAGACAACCUUAUUUCAUGAUUUGCUGGUUUUAGAUCGCCUCAAACUCAAUCAAAAUGUCCUGACUACUUUAAAAGAUGGUACAUUUUAUGGGCUCAAUUCUUUGAAGCAGUUAGAUCUAUCUGGAAACCCAUGGGCAUGCGAUUGCAACUUAUACUGGUUUAGUAAUUGGAUCAGAAAUUCAUCUGUUAAAUUAAGCCCAGCACCCAAAUGCUCCUCGCCAGAAAAUCUAAAAGGGCAGCCCAUGAAGAAGCUGCGACUUUCAGAGGAGAUUCAGUGUCAGUUGGCCACACCAACAAUCGAGAUGAUGCCAGAUCAAAAUCAAGUUGUUUUUGCUGGAGAUUCCAUACAGAUGAAGUGUCGAGCUCCUGGCAUUACGGAGGAUAAAACUGCAAAAUUGAAUUGGCUAUGGAAUCCGAUUACCGCAGACACUCGUGACAUUGAAAACUACACAAAUCCUGAAACAAGUUUACCCAAUAUCAAAGUUGAAAACAGAAAUCUUACGGACAGUGGUAUUGUCGAUAGCUUACUUACUAUCCUCCCAUUCGAAGAUGAGCACAAUGGGCAAUGGCAUUGUCAGCUAGUUUCAGUGCAUGGCAAUCGGUCAAAAACGAUCACUAUAAUUGUUAUUUCCGAGGACACUCGUUAUUGUCCAUUAGCAGUAACGAGGAACAACAAAGGUGUGUACUCUUGGCCCAGAACUAUUAUUGGUUGGAGGGUAGAGCUACCGUGUGAAGGUAAUGGACUAUCUGGCCCAAUGCAGUUGUCUCUACAAGCGUCGUAUCAAUGCAAUCAAACCGGGCAGUGGGAAACGUUAAAUACAGAAUCCUGCCCAUAUGUAUCUCAUACAACAAAAGUUUUGGAACAAUUUUCAAAAGUUAAUUUAUCACUGACUAAAGGCAGUCUCUUGGAAACAGCAAAGAGCUUUAAAAACUAUACAGCUGACAGUAGCAAGUUGACGGACCCAGUAGAAAUUAAUUUCAUAACUCUUACAAUUGAAAACUAUUUGCAGUUUUUGGUGCAAGAGAAAGAACUUGGUGCAAUGCUCGUCGAUAUUGUCAAUGUGGUAAUGAAGUUACCUAAAGAGAUGCUGAAAAUUGCUGAAGUUAAUUAUCUUGCAUGCACAAGACUGGUAAAAGCUAUUGAAACAGUAACUGAAUUUACACCGUCUAUACAAUCACACCAAAAAAAUAUGGCUUUGGAAGAGUUUAGAGUGAAACGUGAAAGUUUUACUGGUUUGACGUGCACCUGGUACAGCAGUAAUGUAUUAGCCAGUGAUUCAGAUAUCAGGCUUUUACAUUGUGCUACAAAUAACAAGACGGCGCUCAUCAAUACCAAGGAUAAGGUUGUUGAAGCCUCUAUUCAACUACCUGCAUCAUUGCUACGGAAUUUGGAUGGUGUUACAGUGGCUCACCAGCUCAUGGUUUCUAUGUACAGUGACAAUAGAUUAUUCCCCAUUGUUACGGGUAAUCAUAAAAUGGAUAUUUCGUCCUGUGUUAUUGGCAGCAAACUAAUUGGUGUACAAGUAGCUAACUUGACAGAGCCAGUAUAUGUAACGUUGAAAGCACCACAAUACCAUUAUUCUGGAAGUAGGCCCCGACCAGUAGUAUGGGAUUUUGGAGAUCCCAGAGGGUGGACUAGCGAUGGGUGUUAUUUAUCACAGUUGGUGAAUAAUCUCAUAGUAUUCCAUUGUGACCGACUUGGUUAUUACGGACUGCUGCAAGACUCUAGUUUCCUGAAGGACAAUGAGCGCAUGGCAAGGGCAAAAUUCAAAUUUUCUCACCCAGCAAUUUAUGUAGGAAGUUUUAUUGCCAUAAUAUGUUUGGCGUGUGCAUCUGUCACUUAUUUAAUUUGCCACACAUCGAUUAUGAUGCCGAAAAAAGUUAAACACUGUCUGGUCAACACCUGGGUAUCAAUAGCUCUUCUCUGCUUCUUAUAUACGGCAGGAAUUCAACAGACGGAAAACAUCUAUGUUUGCCAGAGUAUUGGAUUAACUCUGCAUUAUUUAUCCUUGUGUGGUUUGCUCUGGAUGUCUGUUUCUGCCAGCAAUAUGUAUAAACGAUUAUCCAAGUCCGAUUUGGAUGUUGUGGCGGAUGACGAACUGCAGGAUCAGCCGAUUCAGAAACCGUUGCUUGGAUUAUACUUGGUUGGAUGGGGAAUUGCUCUCAUUAUCUGUGGAAUCUCGGGAGCUAUAAAUCUUCGAGAAUACGCAAGUUAUACUCAUUGCUUUUUAACUUCCGGUCCUGCUCUUGCAGCAUUGUUUGUGCCUGCAGUAAUCUUGGUCGUUUAUUUAAUAAUACUCUAUUUAUUGAUACGAUGUGCAAUUAGAAAUAUUGAUCAGAACGCACAACUAUCUGAGGGCACUCAGGCUACAGAAAAUAUGGAUUUGGAAUUACUUGAACCAAAUGUUAAUGCAACAAAUGAUAGAAAUAGUAUGCAAAGUGCACAAACUGCGUCUUCCGAAGUUGAAGAUUUAGAGCACUCCCAAAUAACACAGCUCAAAGGACAAAUGAUAGUAUUAAUUUUAUAUCUAAUAACGUGGGUCUCUGGAGCUUCUGCCGUAGCAAAGCCUUUGAUUCCAUAUAUCGCUCACGAGGCAGCUAUAUUCAGCAUUAUAUAUACGAUUUCAUCGAGCAGUUUGGGAUUAUUUAUUCUCUUUUUCUAUGGCAUAGCUCGAAGCGAUGUACGUUUUCAAUGGUUACGUAUGCGUUGCUGGCUCAAAAAAAGAAAAAAUAGAUGUUGUAGGACUAGAAGUGUAUCAGACACCAAUCCCGUAGUCCCCUCACAACCACUCGUUCAAAGUUUAGCACCAGUUUCAAUUUCUCAAGCUACCCAAGUAAUGUCAGAUACCAAUUCGAAUAAUUCGUCAAGGCAUACGAAUAAAUCUCGUAAUUCGAACUUGACAAAAGCCGUUGAUCUCAACGCUAUGGACGCAACGACCGCUGCCAAAAUAGCUAACGUUAACCUGGUUGUCCUACACCGGCAGCAAUACAGGUCCAAUAAUUCCGUAACUACAUACACAGAACCUACUCUUGCGUCAGUGGAAAUGUUCUACAAUCCACAUCAGAGUGGCGUGGCAAGAAAAUUUUUCAAAAAGCAGAGGAGGCAUACCAAAAAUAGUAAUUUGGGCCCUCGAAAACAAGGCGAUGGCGGAGCUACUAGCGACGGUGGCAGUUGUAUCUCUUUACCAAGACCUGCUAGACUAGAAUCAAACAUUGAAAAAAGUAUAUUCAGUACAAGUGCUAAAGUAAACAAUACCAAUAUCCACGUUGAGUUAAAUCCUGUAAAUGGCAUUAAAAAUGUGAACAUUUUGUCUGAUAGUGGAGGCAGUAUUUCUGAAGAGCGCAACAUUCCAAUGCGCUUUGUAAUUGGGCAAGAAAAUUUGAUUCGAAAUGCAAAGAAAAUGAACAAUGAUGGUCAAAACAGGGAAUUGGAUAGUUGUACAAUUUCACCAAGAAACACUCCCCAACAUAAACAACAGUACACUAAUACUAGCUUGAAUAAUUCAGAUGGCGAGAGUAAAGUUGAAAUGGAAAAACAUCUCAGAAACGUCUCACAACAAUGCAGUUUAGAAUAUAGUUCUGAAAUCGAGUCGACACAAAUGACUAGUGAGAGAAGUGAUCAUAAUCUUCCUGAAAUCGGUGAAACGCUAGAGCAAUCUGACAAAAACUUUCAGUGUUCAAGUGCAAAUGAAAUGAGUGACUUAGACGAACAACAAACAAACUCACGUUUCGAAUUGUCAAAAAAAUUAAAUUGCUCCAACAGCUUAUAUUGCUUGCCAAUAGAUCAUCUGAUAGAGGCAAGAAACUAUCGUCGCUCUUUAAAUGAUGUUACGUCUGUAACCAGUUCUAGGCAGUGUGGUAACGAAUAUUCUAGACCUUCAAUGAUGGAUUUACAAAGCAUAACAAGUUCCCACUUGUAUGACCAAGUUCAUAACUCACAGCAAAUGAUUAGCCGAUCCCAGCAAUCGCUCAUUGAAGUAAAUAGCUUAAAUAGUGAGAAUACGUAUACACAAGUACAGGAUGUGCCGACCUACGCUACUUCCUUAUUAGAUAUCAGCAAUGAUCAUGAUUUUAGAUCUCUGGGACAUUUACCGAUUCAGAAUGUGAACAGUGGCAGUAGUUUUAGUACAUCGCCAAAUAAAAUGGAAGAAUAUCUGGGCAAGGAAUUCAAUUCUCUUAAUGAUCUAACGUUUAUCGACAAUUCCCUGUUCUCUGAUAAUGUUUUUCGAUCUUCAGAAGCUGAGGAUAGUGAAAAAGUUGAUGAGAGAGAGGAAAAUUUUAAUGUUGGACAAGCAUUUGUCGACCUGAAUACCGAUGACGAAAUAUAUUCUGAAAGUUCUCCUUAUUCCGAUACUGUUAAAAAAGAAACGAGCGUGUGAGUCUCAAUUAAGAUUUAAAAUUUAUCUUUGCGGUCACAUAAUUAUUGGAAACCAUCUAGUGCAGGAAGUAGAAAACGUGAUAAUCAUUACCUUUGAUAUUACGUGAUAUCGAACAUAUUAUUAGGUAGUAAAAUAUAUUUUGAGCCAUUUCAAAUAUUAAUGUGCCUCAAUUAUGUGUGGAAUUAAGAAAAUGGUUCCGUUAAUUAUGUUCAUUGCCAUCUAUCAGGUAUAAAUUUUAUCAAACCUUAAAUUACUUGGAAUCAAGAAAUUUAUUAGGAGUGUUUUGAAUAGCUCAGUUCAAUGGGUUUUGAAUCAACAGAUCAACAAAAAGCAUAGAUUUCCUGCACUGACAUCCACAUUUUACAAACAAAAAUCGAAAUACGUACCUUAUUAUAAUAUUCUCCGAAGAAUCUUCCAAU
rnacentral:misc_RNA from 1 species